UGGGGGAUAUUGCACAAUGGGCGAAAGCCUGAUGCAGCGACGCCGCGUGGGGGAUGAAGGCUUUCGGGUUGUAAACCUCUUUCGCUAUCGAACAAGGCCCGCUUAGGGUGGGUUGGGGGUAGGUGGAGAAGAAGCGCCGGCUAACUACGUGCCAGCAGCCGCGGUAAUACGUAGGGCGCGAGCGUUGUCCGGAAUUAUUGGGCGUAAAGGGCUUGUAGGCGGCUUGUUGCGCCUUCUGUGAAAACGCGGGGCUUAACUUCGCGGGGUCAGUGGGUACGGGCAGGCUUGAGUGUGGUAGUGGUGACUGGAAUUCCAGGUGUAGCGGUGGAAUGCGUAGAUAUCUGGAGGAACACCGAUGGCGAAGGCAGGUCACUGGGCCAUUACUGACGCUGAGGAGCGAAAGCAUGGGUAGCGAACGGG
rnacentral:rRNA from 1 species